rnacentral:rRNA from 1 species
UACGUAGGGCGCAAGCGUUAUCCGGAAUUAUUGGGCGUAAAGAGCUCGUAGGCGGCUUGUCGCGUCGACUGUGAAAACCCGAGGCUCAACUUCGGGCUUGCAGUCGAUACGGGCAGGCUAGAGUUCGGUAGGGGAGACUGGAAUUCCUGGUGUAGCGGUGAAAUGCGUAGAUAUCGGGAGGAACACCAGUGGCGAAGGCGGCGACCUGGGCCAAUACUGACGCUGAGGUGCGAAAGCGUGGGGAGCAAACAGG